GAGCAAUCUGCCCUUGACUCUGGGAUAAGCGUUGGAAACGACGUCUAAUACCGGAUACGACCCUUGGAGGCAUCUCUGGGGGUGGAAAGAAUUUUGGUCAGGGAUGAGCUCGCGGCCUAUCAGCUAGUUGGUGAGGUAAUGGCUCACCAAGGCGACGACGGGUAGCCGGCCUGAGAGGGUGACCGGCCACACUGGGACUGAGACACGGCCCAGACUCCUACGGGAGGCAGCAGUGGGGAAUAUUGCACAAUGGGCGAAAGCCUGAUGCAGCAACGCCGCGUGAGGGACGACGGCCUUCGGGUUGUAAACCUCUUUUAGUAGGGAAGAAGCGAAAGUGACGGUACCUGCAGAAAAAGCACCGGCUAACUACGUGCCAGCAGCCGCGGUAAUACGUAGGGUGCAAGCGUUGUCCGGAAUUAUUGGGCGUAAAGAGCUCGUAGGCGGUUUGUCGCGUCUGCUGUGAAAACCCGAGGCUCAACCUCGGGCCUGCAGUGGGUACGGGCAGACUAGAGUGCGGUAGGGGAGAUUGGAAUUCCUGGUGUAGCGGUGGAAUGCGCAGAUAUCAGGAGGAACACCAAUGGCGAAGGCAGAUCUCUGGGCCGUAACUGACGCUGAGGAGCGAAAGCAUGGGGAGCGAACAGGAUUAGAUACCCUGGUAGUCCAUGCCGUAAACGUUGGGAACUAGAUGUGGGGACCAUUCCACGGUCUCCGUGUCGCAGCUAACGCAUUAAGUUCCCCGCCUGGGGAGUACGGCCGCAAGGCUAAAACUCAAAGGAAUUGACGGGGGCCCGCACAAGCGGCGGAGCAUGCGGAUUAAUUCGAUGCAACGCGAAGAACCUUACCAAGGCUUGACAUAUAGAGGAAACGGCUGGAAACAGUCGCCCCGCAAGGUCUCUAUACAGGUGGUGCAUGGUUGUCGUCAGCUCGUGUCGUGAGAUGUUGGGUUAAGUCCCGCAACGAGCGCAACCCUCGUCCUAUGUUGCCAGCACGUAAUGGUGGGAACUCAUGGGAUACUGCCGGGGUCAACUCGGAGGAAGGUGGGGAUGACGUCAAAUCAUCAUGCCCCUUAUGUCUUGGGCUUCACGCAUGCUACAAUGGCCGGUACAAAGGGCUGCAAUACCGCAAGGUGGAGCGAAUCCCAAAAAGCCGGUCUCAGUUCGGAUUGAGGUCUGCAACUCGACCUCAUGAAGUCGGAGUCGCUAGUAAUCGCAGAUCAGCAACGCUGCGGUGAAUACGUUCCCGGGCCUUGUACACACCGC
rnacentral:rRNA from 1 species